GGUGUGUUCAUAGUUGCUCAUUGAAGCAGUUUUAUGAUGGAGUUGAUCACACUUAACAAUAUGUGCAGGCAGGACCGAAAAAAGGUGUGGUGCCUUCCAGCCCAUAAAUCAAAGUUUUCUCUUGCCACUGCCAUGUAAGAAGUGCCUUUUGCUCCUGCCAUGAUUCUGAGGCCUCCCCAGCCAUGUGGAACUGGGGAACUUUCACUGGUAUAGAACUAACUGGGCACAUAAUGGGUAUCUGUAAAUGGACAAUUUGGGUGUGCUGAAAUCAAAUGACUGACCAAGGCCCAUAACUGUGAUCACAGGUAAAAUGUUUUUCUGCUUUGCCAAAAAUCCGAGUUUCCUUUGCUCUCUCUGUCAAGCUGAAAGAGCCCUCCCAGACCCAGGGGCCAGGUGGAGAGGCCACUCACACCCGCCCGGUGCCGGUCUACCUUGGAUGGCCUCACCAGGGCACGGUUCCCGGGGUGGUGACUCAGCUCUGGAGGACCACCUGCUGCGUGGGGGUUGCUGCCUAGCAGGUCACUGCCAGUCACGAGGGCAGAGAGACCCAAAGGAUCAGAGAACAGCUCUGAGCAGGUCAAGGGCAGUGCCAGAAGGAAAGCCUUUGUUUACAGAGGGAAAGAUCCUGCACCUUGAAGUGAGGCAUUAAAGAGUAGAGGGGCUUUGCACCUGCAUCCUAAGCCUCUUGGUUCACCACUAAGCCGCAAAGCCACAGGGAGGAAACCACUGGGAAUACCAUCACAGAAAAUGAAGGUAGGGCCACGGGGCGCCUCCCACUCUCAAAGGGAAAAGACGGCCCUGGAUCAUCUUUCUAAAACAUCACUUUGAUGAAGUCGCCAUGGUUUUCUAAAGUAAUAAAUGGCAGCCACUACCUGCAAGAUAACAGAGUACAUUUGAAACCUUUCCACCACCUAAGUCCAACCCUCCUUCAGGGCAUUCGCUCUACUUCCUUAGAUAAAGCCUCUGCUGGGGUUAAGAUGUUCUGUCUCCGCUGCCCCCACUCUGCAGGCUUUCUCCUCCCGCUGACUGGUGCAGAGAAUGGGGGAGCCAUUAGGAGCCACAGACACUGAGCUAUUCCACAUGGAAUUCUUUUUAUUGUUUGAUCUAUUUCACAUGUACAAAGCUUUGACCUUCCAGUUCUAAGAAUUCCUACUUAGAACUGGUAGGUUCUAAGAACUCCUACUUAGAACUGGUAGGUUCUAAGAACCUCCCUGGACCGAUUCUGGCACAUGUCUCUUCUGAACUCACAGAGCUUGUGCCUUAACAAUUUAGAGUCAACUGACUUUGCUGUCCUCUCUAAUGUGUUAAGUUUCAGUCCGUGACAAACAUUGACAAGACGUGUACCUCAUCAGGCACUGUAAAGGGAAAGGACAUGACCCCUGCGGGAGAGGUCCACAGUCACACAGACGACAGAAAUGUGCCCGAUGCCUUCCAGUGUAUGUCACAACGCGUAUUUGACAAGGGAGAGCAGAGACUCUGCAGGUGAUGAGUUUUGCCUGCAGCGCCAAAGAAGUCUUCAUUGGGGAGCUCCAGGCUGGAUUUGAAAGGAAAAGCCGAAUUUUAAAGGAAGAACAGGUUAAACACCGAAGGAAAAUGGGGAGGAGUAAAUGUUUCAAGGAACACGUAUACCAAACAACAGAGUGCAUUCUCUCCAGCUCUGCAGCUCGGGGUUCCAGGGUCGGGGGUCCCACAAGGUGGGGAGGAGAAGCAGGCCUUAUCACGAAGGGCUUUGCAGGACAGGCCGAGUGUGUACGACGUUUGAGGUGGAAUGACAGGGCUACGCCCUGUGGAAGGGGCCGACUGUAGGACUGCUCGGAAUUGGGAGUUUGGCAGGAGAGAGGCACUUUCACAGACAUUAUCUGGUUUCAUCACCACCCCUUCUUGAGCCAUAUAUUUGGCGAUUAAUUGCGCACUUGUGACAUGUUCCUUUCUGCUGUCUGUUCCUUAAUGCCCCCUGCUUUUUUGUCUUGUCCCCAGCUGGGCUAUCUGUUCCUGGCGGCCACAGAACAAUACCUUCUUUAAUGGCUCCCACAGUGACCAGCACGUGCCUUAAACUCAGAGCAGGUCACUCAAACUCCUUUUAACUGAAAGUUUAGGAUGUGCUUUUGCCACACUCUCAAGUAAGUAAGUAAAUUCAUCAGCAAAUACCAAGUCCUAAAAUAAUGAAUGGUACUUAGGAAACACAUAAAGAGUGGUAGAAAACUAGAUGGGCUGGGGUCAUCCUGUGGAGGCCCUGGACGGCCCGGCUAAAGCAUUUGGAACUCCUCUGUAGAAGUGUUUUGAUAAAGAAAUGAUGUGAUUGAAGCUAUGCUUAAUAGAAGAUGAAUUUGGCAGUAGGAUGGGCUGGAGGGAGACAGUCGCUGUGGUGGUAGAAAGAAGAGGUGAAAAAGUGUUGCCAAGCCAGGUGAGAGCGUUUGCCACCAUCUGCACUAGCACGCAGCGCCGUUCCUCUAGGGCCCCUUGAGCUUAAGGUAGUUCUUUUCUCACAUCCGUCACACUUAGGAAGAUCACAUGGUGAUGCUGGCUUUUAUUCUCCCUCCCUUUCUUCCUUCUAAUAAUUAGCAAGCAACAGUUAUCUGCCAGACACUGUGCUAUUACACAAGGGAGAGAGAGAUGAAAGGCAGUCUCUACUCUGAUGCCUUGUGGGAGAGGAAGAAAAGUAUCUGGUUAAAACGCAGCAUGUUGAAUUCUCUGAUAUGCCCUCCCUCCCUCUCUCUCCCCCUGCUGGCCAGUCUGUCUUCCAUUUCUUUCUUUUUCUUCCAAAAAAAGGAUCUGAGGCAUAAUGAAGGAAGUCAGCUAGGAAUGGGGAAGAAGGAAGCUAAUCUAAUGCGAGGAAUCCCUGGAGGAGGUGGCACCUGAGAUGACUUUCAGGUGAGCAGGUAUCAGCCAGACGAAACCAGGAGGAAGGGAGAAGAGCCGUGCGCAGACACAGGCUGGGGCAGAGGAGUGGGCUUAGUGGCCUCCUGAGACAUGAGCUGGAACCUGGAAAAUGAGGAGCCAUGAAAGAGCUUUAAUGAGAGAAAGACAAUGACAUCUACGCUUUAGAAGGAUCGGUCUGGAGACAGCAGAAGGGCUUAUCGGAAGGUAGUGACUCUGUAGUCAAAGAGAUAGCAAAGUACAGAUUUGAGAGAUGCCACAACAGACGCAUUAAGCCCUGGAGCUGGAAUGAUAUGCACACUGAGAGAGUGAGGGAGUGAGGUCCUUGCUGAAGACCUUUAAAAUGAGUUUAUUUCACCCAGAAGCUCCAGCAAGGGACACACUCACUGCCUUGUGCUGGCCACGAGGUGGCAGCCUCGCACAGCCAUUUUAGCAGAAAAUGCGUCCCAUCCUCACCGGCGCUCACCACCACGUGGGCAGAGCCACUAAAAAAAUUCCACCACGGGGACAGGAGCUCUCUGAGCUUGCCCCAUAAACACGCUUUUCUCCCACAGAAAGCCUCCACAGAAGCAAUGAAAAAGUCAGUUGAUUUGGGGAGAGAAGCAUAAAAGCUCGUGCUCUUCAGAGAGCUCUGGGCUGUUUCAGGGUGGCGGCCGAGCCCUCUGACAACUGCGAAGAGACUGAGACAAUACAGGCUGGGGAUGAAGCGGUUCAAUGAAGGGCAUUACCCCCAACGAGAACCAACUGGAGAACCAACUCGUGGAGCGCUCGGGCCCCAUGACUCAGUCUGACCCGACGCUGGCGAAUGCUGCUGAGGACCCUGAAAACCUGCAGGGACCCUGUCCCAGGCCAGCGACAGCCACCCCUCAGGGCCCCUGGUCUCUGUCAGGCAAUGCGGGUCAUCUGAGGGAGGCUGGGCCACAGAUUCCACGUGUAGCUGGGAGGGGUUGCUGCGUCUGGCGAGGCAAGGGCUGCUGUCUAAACUUCCAAGGGAAUGAUGUGGGCACCCCAGGAGGAAGGGAUGCCCUGACCCCACUGCAUAGUCGAGGGCAUGGAGAACCCAUCCGACUGUGGCCUUGUGGCCCAUCCCCAUUCUCUGACGGGCUCAUUGUGAUUUUCAGCCACUUGCUAUUUGCCUCUCAGAGGCAAAGCGGCUGCAAGAGGUAGGAGAAAGCAAGAGACUCCCUCACCUGGAAUAGAGCAUCCACCGCGAUCCCAGAAAAGACAAAUCCCGUUGCAGGCACUUCAAUCCACACAGCAGUCCUGGGAUGAGGGUCCUGUUACCAUCCCCAUUUCACAGAUGAGGAAACUGAGGCACAAAGCAUGAAGUAACUUGAACGUGCCCAGAGUCACACUGCUAGCAAGGAGCAGAGCUGGAGUUUAGGCCCAGGUGGCCUGACCUCAGAGCUUGUGCGCUACCUGCUGCCUGGUACAGUCCACAGAGAGGGGGCCAGUGCCCGGCCCAGAACCACAUGCCCUGGGGCUGGAGACAGGUCAGGGCAGCCGAAAGGUGGAGCGCCCUCUCCAGCACUUCUUCCUCACCCCCUGCGGCUUUCUCCUGUGCUCCGACUGCCACCACUUGCUUGGGCAGCCAAGCAUGACAAACUGGCCAGCCACCGAGCAGGACUUUUCAGAGGAGGAGUAAAAACCCUUGUAUGAAUGUACACUCUUCUUGUCACACACAAACGCCCUUCCUUCCACCUUCAAAGGUGAUUCUGAGACUGCCCGUUUUUAUCUUUGCUUCAGUUGUGCUUGAUUUACAGCCUCCUGAGGUUUUUUGUUUUGUUUUGUUUUUUGUCUCUGUCACCCAGGCUAGACUGCAGGGGCGCGAUCUCAGCUCACUGCAACCUCUGCCUCCCGGGUUCAAGUGAUUCUCCUGCCUCAGCCUCAGCCUCCCAAGUAGCUGGGAUUACAGGCACCCGCCACCACACCUGGCUAACUUUUUUUGUAUUUUCAGUAGAGACAGAGUUUCACCAUGUUGGCCAGGCUGGUCUCGAACUCUUGACCUCAAGUGAUCUGCCCGCCUAGGCCUCCCAAAGUGCUGGGACUACAGGCAUGAGCCACGCGCCCGGCUUCCUGAUGUUUUUAACUAACAUUGCUAGUGGUUUAAGUUGGGCACCGACAAGUAUUAGAAUGUAAUUGCAGAGGUCACGUUGUUUGAACACCGGAACUUCAAGGCGUGCUUGAACCACCUGAUCAAAGGAGAAGGGACUGAGGACCAACAGGAGUGGGGCUAAAGGCAUCCUUCUGCUCCAGUUUCCUGUGAACCCGCUCCUCUGAGGAAAGGAGUAGUCCCCACGGAAGACACAGGAUCCUUCUGGGGGUCCUCCUUGGCCACGUCACACUUCCAGACUGUGUGGCGGGACACUGACCACCAAGCCCACAGACGUGGGUUUUAAAGCUACGCCUUCAAAUCAGCAACUCCCUUUCCUCAUGAAUAUUUUAGUGUGUAAUAUAGAAGAUGUUUUUACACUGAAUUAAAGCACCUGCCACUGAAUCUUCCUGCUGGAAUUAUGGGGGGUGGGAGGAGAUGGAAAAAAAAUCAAUGUUUCAAAGCAGUCCUGAUGUGCUAAAAAUAUCUCUCACUUCUCCUUUCAUCUGUCUGGUCAUUGUCCCAGACGCAAGCUCAGCACAGCCUCGCCCAUACAACAUGUCGAAUCGCUGUCUACCUCCACUUCUUAAUCGGACAAAGAGAGAAUAUUCUUUUUUUUUUUCCUUCCUCAGACAUUAGUCCAAGAUUACAGACUAGGAUAUAGCAACCUAUUAUUCAAGAACAGCUUUUAAAGGUAGCUGCUUCAGACUGGCACUUCGGGAAAACUUUGAAAGUAGACUUCUUUUUUUAAUGCUUAUUUUAACUAUAGAUUGGUGAUAACGAUUCAACCCCAGAGAUCCAGCUAACUGUUGGCACAGAAAUCCUUAACGCUACUCUCAAGCAAAUAAGAUCUUUUAAGGGGAAACUCCUGCAAAAUAUACCUUGUGAACAAGCUGCUCGCACCUCCUCUUGCAGCUGCAAAGAUAUUCUACUCUAUUGCUUAACUCGUGACCUUGAAAAAACUCCACCUUUCCUGCCAGCAGCUCCACUGCAUCCACCUGUCCCUACAGGUAGUAAAAGAUUAGACAAAACAGAACCACGUUUACACAACACACUUCCGAGCCUCUCUUCCUUCUAGGCCCUGUCCCACCCCCACUCCAAGGUCGAAGUUCAUUUCUUGCAGGCUUCACUUUUCAGGAUUAACCAACACUGUGCUUUUUCAUUCUGCUCAACACCAGUCCUUUGGCCUCACAGUGCUCGCCUGUGUGGAACACACUGCAGCCACCAGGUCAUCUGCUUUAGACCCAGCUCCAUGUCAAGUCCUGUUAUGGUCCCUCGGGCAUAUUGUCAUGCUCCUGGGCACCUGAAAACUGACAACUGGUUUCAAAUUUCUUACAAUUUGCUUUUCUGGUCUAUCCUUAUUUAUUCCCCUCACAGUGACAUUCACAGGAAGAGGAAGUGGCAGGCAGUCUCUUGGGGACGGGUCUCUCCUGAAUACCUGGGGGGAUGCCCUGGGCUGGGGAACCUCACAGGGGCUCAUCAAGAGGUUCCAGGAGACAGAGUUCGAGACCAGCCUGGCCAACAUGGUAAAACCCCGUCUCUACUAAAAAUGUAAUAAUCAGCGAGGCAUGGUGGCUUGCACCUAUAAUCUCAGCUACUUGGGAAACUGUGGCAGGAGAAUUGCUUGAACCCGGGAGGCAGAGGUUGCAGUGAGUCGAGAUCGUGCUACUGCACUCCAGCCUGGGCAACAGAGCUCUCAAAAAAAAAAAAAAAAAAAGACAUUCCAGAAGACUUCUGAAGUGGAAGUAGCCACCACACAGCUGCACCUGCCACCUCCUUCCCCACUCCAGGGCCUUUGAAAUGUGCUGCUCUCUCUAUGCCGAGAGCUCUCACCCCUACCCCCUGCACCCACACAUUCCUGCUCAUCUCUUAGCUGAGACCUUGGAAAUCACCUCCUCAGGGGACCACUGGGAAGAAGGUCCUUUUCAUCUGAGUGCCUUCCCCUCAGGGAUGAUUUUUCUUGGGCCAUUUUUUUUGGUAUGUGUUUACUUAGGUUCCAUGAUGACAGAGACCAUGCCUGUGUUUUCAUCACUAUCGUCUUCACCUCACUGCCAACCAGUGCCUGGCACACAGUAGGUGUUCAAGAAAGGUUUGCUGAAUAAAUGGAUGAACAAUGACAUCAGCCUACUUUGACCUCUUGAGUUCCUCUGAUCUCUGAAUGUUCUGGAGCAAGGACCUUUAACAGCAUCUCCAUCUCUUCCUGGCCUUGCCGCCCCACCCAGUAAAACCAUAAUACUUGCUGGUAUAGCCUCUUCCUGCAAAUAAAAGUACAAAAGGAGUUCAGAACGGACACUCCAAACAAAGGGAUUUAUGACCUUGGUCUCAUGUUCUCUUGUGGUGGUAAAAUUCACUUUUCUAUGAAAUUAAAAAUUCCUCCCUUGAACAACAUUGCCAGAGGUCCCCAGAACAAGGCAAAACUGGGUAUUCAAAACUUUUUAAGUUUAGGAAACGCUGCCUGGAAUCUCUAUUUCUCCCUCCUCUGGUUGCAUUCUAUUCCUCAGGUUAUGUGCUUAUGAAAUUCGUAUCUAGCUCUGUGCCCAAAGAUGCUUCCAGCUCGCUUGCUUCCCCUGCUCCCUGCUCCCCGCAGGCCUGCGGAGAGCACCGCCCCAGUCUGCUAUUAAGAUCUGCUCAACUGUUUAAUUGCACAGCCCGUCCCAGCAGCAACCUCUCCACAGCCUCUCACUUGCCAACCAACUGGCCGCCCACUCACAUUCUCUUGCUGGCUUGCUCACUGCCCAAACACACACCCCUCCCCCCAGUUCAUCUCUUACCCACUAACACAACGAAGAUCCGACUUAUCCAAUUUGCUGACGUACUUUACCUGAAGCCCCACCCACCCCCCUCCACUUUUCCAGAGUUCUACCCACAAGAAAAGGAAAGCAGCCGGCCCGGUCUAAAUACAAAAGAUUUACUGUCAACACCUUGAAACUUGGAAAGGGUCCAUUACAUGCCAGCAUCAGACUUUUGGUGGAGAAGCGCGGUGGUGGGGAGGGUAGGAAGAUGCUAAGAAGAAAAGACGAAGGGGAAGAGGGAGAUGAAAAUCCAUCAGUCCUCCCUCUGAGUCUAGUUGGCCAGGACAAGGACGACACAGGACUUUUGUGAAAGAUUCUGGAAAUAUUUCAGAGAGUUGCCUUGAGAAUAUCCACAUGGCGGUACAUAGGGCAUAAAAUCUGGGUUCGAAGACCUGAGCCUGAGUCCUGGCUUUCCACCUGCUAACCACAUCCCUGCCAUCAGGGCAGGCUGAUGUUUCCUGGUCAGUACAACAGGGAUGCAGAAAUCUAUUUUGCAGAGUUGCCGGGAGGAUCAAAUGAAGUUACGUGUGUGAAAGCAUCUUGUAAACUGUAAACACUAGACAUGGUAUACAUUAGUUUUUGGUGUUACCCAGUAGGUCAUUUCUCUCUCUCAAACAUUUAUUCUCUAUCAUGUGUCCGGGUGUUUAUCCAAAAGUAAACACUACGUAAUCAUGGCAUCAUGGUUUUGUUUUAUUUUGAGAUGGAGUCUCACUCUGUUGCCCAGGUUGGAGUGCAGUGGCGCAAUCUCUGCUCACUGCAACCUCCGCCUCCCGGGUUCAAGCAAUUCUCCUGCCCCAGCCUCCCGAGUAGCUGGGACUACAGGCGUGUGCCACCACACCCAGCUAAUUUUAGUAUUUUUAGUAGAUGGGGUUUCACCACGUUAGCCAGGAUGGUCUCGAUCUGACCUUGUGAUCCACUUGCCUUGGCCUCCCAAAGUGCUGAGAUUACAGGCGUGAGCCACGGCGCCCGGCCCUAAUCAUGGCUUUUAAGGGGUCAAUGCAAGCCAGGGAAGAUGGACAAAAAGAGGAAUUACAGAACACAGUAUGACACAUGUACAACUGGGUAAGCAGAAAGGGCUGUGGAAGCACCCAAGGGGCACCUAGCCCAGCCCUUAGGAGUCAGCAGAGGCUGCCUGGUGGAGGUUUCAUCUGAACAGGUGCUCUGAAGGGACAGUAGCCAUUGGCCAGGAAGAGGGAAGGAAGAGCUUCCAGGCAGAGGACAAGCAUGAUGGGCUUCAUUUGGCUGCACCAGAGAUCAACAAACAAUGGUAAGGAUGGGGGGAGUCCUGAGAGGUAAGACCAGAUCAUGAAGGGUGUCUUGAGCCCUGUCAAGACAUUAUGAGGUCAACCAAGCAACAAUAACAUCACAAGACAACAGGUUUCUUUCUGGGUCCUGACAGUGUAUGUAAGUUAUGCGGCUUGAACUUACUGGACGGCAUUAAUGAGCUUCUGUUCAUGUCUAAUAAGGAAAAAAGAGGGUUCUAUCAUGGGUUAUGCCACAUUUGUUUUUCUUGGUAGUUGGGACAGUUGCUUUGUUAAUUGCCUUUUUUGAACAUACUCUCCUAUACCCACAGCACAUUUGCUGGAGUCAUGGGGGUGGGGUGUGAUAAUCUGCACUAUUCAUGAGCUGUGGCCAGGUGAUCCAGCACAAAGAUGCCCAGCUGUGGGGAAUACAUUCAUUCUUCCCUAACACAUUAAAACCACAACCAAGGAAAGCUGGCUGAAUAAAACUGAGUGGCCCCAAGGAUACAAACACCUCCAACACGAGUCAUUUAUUUAUGAAAAGUGAAUAGGAUACAAAUUAAAAGCUUGGGCGCAGGAGCCAGACUGCUGUGACUUGAAUCCUGGCUCCUCCAUUUCCAACUUCCCCCAGCCUCAGUUGUCUAUCUGUAAAAUGGGUCUCAUAGUAGGAUCUGCCACACAGGAUUGUGUAUUAAAAGAGAUAAUCAAUAUCGAGUAUUUGGCACAGUGCCUGGCACAUGGGGCUCCCAACACAUGGUGUUGGUGGUGUUCCUAUUUGUUGUUUUUCUCUUGUAGCAAUGCUGAAUCCAGUCUGCUCCCACUUAUAGUUUACAUGAUGGAAGAAUUAGAGACUUGAACACAGAAAUGAAUUAUCCCUGUUAACCCUAACCCCAGAACACUGAGGCCACAGGAAAUACAACCGCAGUGACCUGGACUUCUGCGUUAGUCAUGAUCAGUACGUAUUAGGUCACAGCUAGUCUACGCUUUAUCACAUGGUGGUGACAUUCCAGUUUCAUAUGAGAGGGCUCUCAGUUAAGUAAGUGCACUAAAAAUGCAUACUGGAAAACACCCGUGAUCUAUCUAAAACAUUGUUCCAGUGCCCUCGUUUUUUUGUUUUGCUUUUUUUUUUAAAUCCCAGAGAGCAAUACCAUAGAAUAUUUCAUUAGACCUUUUUAUUCAAGAUCCAUCUUAAAAAGUUGAGGCUGUACCUCAAAUAUCUUUUAUUUUCCUUGCUGACUUGUUACAUGACCCCCACUGGCCUGUGAAUAUAUCCAAAGAUUUUUCUGUGUUUUAAUCUGAACUCACUUUGAAGCUAUUUAUAUGUUUGGCAUGGUAACACAAUGGAGGUAAUAAACACCAUGCAGGUCUGACUCAGCUUUGAAAGCAGCUUUCUGAGUGACACCUUCCUCAGGAUUCCCUGAGCUAACUUUAUGGGAUCUGGUAAGUAACUUCAUAUUCACUCCAUAGCACUUACGAUCUCCCAAUCAUUUCCUGCAGAUCUAGCCUGGAAGCUAAAUUUUAAAACUAGCUGUGAAUUUGGAAGAUGAUUCAUAAGCUCUGUGCAUACCAUGGUUAUGACUGGUGGAAGGCAGAGAUUCUUACAUCAGUCUUCUUUACACUUUAACAGCAAGGAAAAUAACAGGUUAGAGGAGUACUUUGUAUCUACCCUCCCUUGCUUCCGGCAAAUUAAUGAAAGCCAAAUAAAUUGCAACACUUUGAUAUCUGUGUCUCUGUAACGUUAAAGACAGCCCUGGGCUGCGAGAGAUGAACGUGGUAGAGCACCUCCGGGCCAGCUUCCCAGUGGAGCAAUGGUAUUGGAGAGGUGGACAACGUGGGGAGGCUGAGGGAGCUAGAUCUUCGAAGGCAGAGAACAACACGGUGUGUCAGGCAAGCAACAAGCUCUUUUUGCAGCAUAAAAGCAAGAGGGGAGAGUGGCAGGGGAAAAACUCAGGUUAUUUAUUUAUUUUUUUUCUGAAAACCACUUGCUGAAAUAGAAUGCCUCUUCUGAAUACUGAUGUCAUUAGACUAUCAAUUUAGGUUAUAUUAAAUUUUUUCAGGAUAGCUAUCCUUAAAUUUCAAAGCAUUUAUUGGCCAGGUUUCUAAAGUGUGAUAGCAUCAUUCACCAGGAAGCAGGGAAUUUAGAAUCGAGGUGACACCGGACCACAGAGUGAGUCUCUGGGGUAGAGGCAGGAAUAUGCUCAGUAAGGUAGCUGGUCAGCCGUAAGGCUGCCCAGGAGUGAGGCUUCCUCUGCAGGGUCUCACGGGUGCCUUCUCAUGCCUUUUACUGGAGCCAUAUCUAAUGACUUUAAAAGGUUAACCCUGGAUCUGUUCUGGUGAACUUCAUCCAUGUUUGUAACAUCCUAGAAAGUAUUUAUUCUGAGAAGCUGAAAAACAAAAAAAGAUCUUCCCAGAUUUCUGAAAAUGGGGUGGAUACUGACCUACAUUCAGUGUUCUAGAUUAAAAUCACAGAUUUUGGAUAGAGAAAGUAUUCUCUGUAAUCUAAUAAAACCAACUUUUUUUUUUUUUUGAGACAGAGUCUCACUCAUGGCCCAGUCUAGAGUGCAGUGGCACGAUCUCGGCUCACUGCAACCUCUGCCUGUCGGGUUCAAGCGAUUGUCCUGCCUCCUGCCCCAGCCUCCCAAGUAGCGGGGAUUACAGGCAUGUGCCAUGACGCCCAGCUAGUUUUUUGUAUUUUUAGUAGAGAGGGGGGGUCUUGCCAUGUUGCCCAGGCUGGUCUUGAACUUCUGACCUCAGGUGAUCAGGCCAUCUUGGCCUCCCAAAGUGUUGGGAUUACAGGCGUGAGCCACCACACCUGGCCAAAACCAACAUAUUUUAUGGAUAGGAAAUUGAGGCUUACAUGGGGGGGAAGAAAAACAUUACACAGAUUAAACCACAGCUAAUGUCAGGUGGUGACCAAAGCAAGUCUUUUAUUGCAGGCUGGGUUUUUCCAUGUGGCUGGUUGUAUGCUGCACCAAGAGGCAGACACAGUAGGCCAGUUUCCUGUGCAGACCCAGCUGCAAUCCCAUCUCUAAGCCAGGAUGCUAUUAGGUCUCAACAACCCAUGGGAAUUUAGGGUGCUCAUGAUUUAGGCUGGAAAGAGGUGACUAAGCUCCUUGAUCUAAGGUCUAUGCAACUGGCCACUCACUGUGGACCAGGGACAUUCAAUGCCAGACAGCGGUAGGGCUGGUCUGGGGCGGCAAGCCAGAUCCUGGGCAAAGCAGCCUUUCUGCUAAGGGUUCCCUGGCAGACCACGACGAUGACCUCUUGCAAAUGUGACCUGACGGUGGCAAAAGUCUUCUUUCAAAGCCCAUUCCUAGGGCCUGCUCUUUCCCCAGCACUGUCCCCCAGGAAGCCCCCUUGCUAGCCAUAUUCAUAAAGUUAAACGACUAAAACAUGUUUUGGAAAGUAGUUUCUCUUGGUAUUUUGUGUGUUGUUUACUCUCUUACUGUACUAACAAUAUAAAUUGUUAAAGGCUUCCUGGAAAUCAAAACUGCAAAUUAGAGAAAAAUAGGGUUAGAGAAAAUGUCUUUGAUAGUCCACUUUGAAAUUCAAAUAAUGAUUUGAGAAGUUUAAGAAUUAUUACGUGAAUAGAUGAUAAAGUGACAGAAUAUUAAUUAUAGAAUCUAGCCAGUGUAUUUUUCAUAAUAAAAUAUUGGAAAAAAGUAUUACCGCAUCUUCUGUGCAUACCAAUAUCCAACAAGUUCAUGGGCUCCUACCGCUGGAUAUAAUAGCAAAAAGUCUUGAAAUAUAAAAUAAAGGAAGCACCACAAAUUAAAUAGGGAAAGAUACAUGACUCAAAACAUGAUGGGGGAUUUACUCUGUGAAACAAAGUCCAUUUGGAUCUUUGUUUCACACUUUUUUUUUUUUUUUUUUU